AAAAGAACUUUGGAGAGAGAGUCAAAGAGGCCGCGAAACCGUUAGGAGGGAAGCGAAUGCAGCCAGAGCGGCUUCGUUCAGGUUCAGGAGGCGUUGCAUUGUGUCCGCCGUAGCGUCGUUCAACCCGUUGGGUAAGGCGCUUGGSGGUUCCGGUGCAUCUCUUCUGCAAUCCAGUUUCGUGGCCGGCCAACGACGGUCGCCAGUCGCCCAGCAGGGCGGCGGGGAAGGUUUCUUUCCGUGCCUCUCGGGGCUUUGGGAAGGGCUUAUAGCCGUGCCGUUUGGAGGUCGAAGGGCGACCGAGGAUUGCGCAACCGCUUUGCGCAGGCACUGCGGGCCCCUCGCGGGCCGGAUCGCCCCUGCUCGUCCGGGAAGCGCGGAGGCCGACUGCUUGCAGUGUUCUCCGACGCUCGUCAGUUCGUGCGGGGGGUCGGUCGCGACUGCAGUGAUGUCG
rnacentral:sRNA from 1 species